GAUGAACGCUGGCGGCGUGCCUAAUACAUGCAAGUCGAGCGAACAGACGAGGAGCUUGCUCCUCUGACGUUAGCGGCGGACGGGUGAGUAACACGUGGAUAACCUACCUAUAAGACUGGGAUAACUUCGGGAAACCGGAGCUAAUACCGGAUAAUAUAUUGAACCGCAUGGUUCAAUAGUGAAAGACGGUUUUGCUGUCACUUAUAGAUGGAUCCGCGCGGCAUUAGCUAGUUGGUAGGGUAACGGCUUACCAAGGCAACGAUGCGUAGCCGACCUGAGAGCGGGAUCGGCCACACUGGAACUGAGACACGGUCCAGACUCCGACGGGAGGCAGCAGUAGGGAAUCUUCCGAAAUGGGCGAAAGCCUGACGGAGCAACGCCGCGUGAGUGAUGAAGGUCUUCGGAUCGUAAAACUCUGUUAUUAGGGAAGAACAAAUGUGUAAGUAACUAUGCACGUCUUGACGGUACCUAAUCAGAAAGCCACGGCUAACUACGU
rnacentral:rRNA from 1 species